ensembl:lncRNA
GUUUUGGAGGCAUGUGAACAAAAUCUAUUUGCAUAUUUACAAAAGGGCCUGAUGGAGGAGGUAGGUGAUCAUGUUUUGCCAGUUUAAUGUUACCUCUUGCAUGUUGAGCACAUAUUAAGCAUCGAUUGCAAUAUUGCUCAGUUGCAGUGGUAUGUCCUGGUGCAAACCAUUGAGAUCGAAUGACAUGGUUCAUCCCCCCCUUUCCCUACAUGCGAAGGGGUGUGUGCCAGCCGGCACAGAGAGUGGAGAAGGGAUCGAGGGGCCACUAUCCUACCAUCAGGGUGGAGCCACAAGCCUGACUCAGAGGGUGUACAACCAUUCUUGGACCAGACUGCCUUUUCACAACCAUCAGCACUAUUUUGUAGUAUAGUGACAUCAUUAAGUGAGGGGACUGGUAACAAGUUAGAUUGCACUGUUUUGGGACCUUGUAGGACCAUCAUGGAGGGGUUCAAUGCAGCUUGUUUAGCAGCGAAAUCUGCUAAUGCAUUACCCUGGGAAACUGAAUCAGAUCCACCUGUGUGCGCUUCACAUUUUACAACAGACAAUUCGGAUGGGAACAUUAUAGAUUCUAGUAAAUGUUUUACCAUAGCACAAUGUUGGAUAGGUUUACCUGAGGUGGUAAUGAAUCCUCUAUGUUUCCACAGCAUACCAAAAUCAUGGACUACGCCGAAAGCAUAUCUAGAGUCGGUGUAAAUAGUAGCAGAUUUUCCUUUAGCCAAAACAAAGCUCUAGUCAAUGCAUACAGCUCAGCCAACUGAGCUGACGUACCCGGAGGGAGUGACGCUGAUUCUACAAUGUCAAAAUCAGUUACAACAGCAUAUCCUGAUCUAUAAUCAGUGUCUGUCAGUCUGGAGAAAGAGCCAUCAGUAUACAAGAUUAGAUCGCAAUUAUCUAAUGGCGUUUGUUUCAAAUCUGGUCGUGGUUAGGUGUAUUGUUCUACAGUUUCAACACAAGGAUGUUCAUAUGCGUCAUUUUCAUAAUAGUCAAACAUUAGUGUUGCUGGGUUUACAGGGGAGGAGCAUUUCAAAUGUAGAUUUGGUUUGCUUAAUAGUAUCACUUCAUAACCUGUUCUUCGUGCAUUAGUGAAAUGUUGUGUCGCUGCGGAAUUAAGUAAUAAUUGAACUGCAUGUGGAACAUAUAUUGUGCAAUCAUGAUCUAAAACAAUUGGUGAAGACUUUUCAACCAUAACUGCAGCAGCCGCUACAGUCCGGAGACAACCUGGCAUGCCGAGAACAACUGGUGGUAAAGAGGUGGAGUAGUAUGCUACUGGGCGUUUACCUGAGCAGUGUUGCUGGGACAGAAUACCAUUAGCAUGACCGUUGCAUUCAGAGACAAAUAGGUGAAAUGGUAAUGAGUAAUCAGGCAAUCCUAAAGCUGGUGCAGUACUUUUUUUGUAGAGAUUCAAAAGCAAUAUUUAUUUCUUCUGACCACUCAAUGUUAACAGGCUUGUCGUUUAAAGUAGCAUUUCUCAACACAGCUUCCAUUGCUCUAUAUUCAAAAAUCCAUUGUCUGCAGAAAUUAGCCAUGCCGAGGAAAGACAUCAUUUGUUUCUUAGGGUGCGGGCGUGUAGUCGAGAGCAGAGUUGUUAUUCUACCUUGAGAAAGUUGGCGAGUGCCGUUAUGAAGUACAUGACCUAAAUACUGUACACGUUCUUGACAGUACUGCAUUUUGGAGAGGCUUGCACGGUGUCCUUUGUUUGCUAGAUGUGUGAGUAAAAGAAGAGUGUCCUUAAUGCAAACAUCUUUGGAAGGGGAAGCUAGAAGUAGAUCAUCUGCGUAUUGGAUGAGGGUGCUGUUACCAAGCAAAUGCAAGUCAGCUAGAUCACGAUUUACUGCUAGUACAUAAAUAGUGGGGCUUUCAGUGUAUCCUUGUGGCAUUCUGGUCCAUGUGUAUUGUUUCCUUUUGUAUGUAAAUGCAAACAAGUACUGGCUGUCUGGAUGGACUGGAAUAGAGAAAAACGCUGAGCACAGAUCAAUUACUGUGUAAUGUGUGGAAUCUGAAGGGAUUGAUGACAGUAUUGUAUGUGUGUCUGGUACUAUGGGUGUGAUAGGAACAACGCAAUUGUUAACUGCUCUCAAAUCUUGUACAAAUCUCCAUUCAUCUGGUCUCCCUGGCUUCGGGAGGGGCAAUAUGGGUGUGUUA